rnacentral:misc_RNA from 1 species
AGAUUGCCUGUAAUUCAUAUAAGGUAUCUUUGGUUUUUUCAUCACAAAUCAUAAUUUGCUUCAAAAUCAUGUGGGGAAGUCUUGCUUUUGUGUACCAAUGGCCAUUUGCUUUUCAUUUUUCCUUUGAUUAUAUCUUCUGGAACUUUAUUCUUGGGCUGGUUUCACGCGUUAUAUAUUACCAAUUGCUGCUUGCAUUUGAAUGUUGAUCAUUUUGGUCCUCAUUGAAUUGUUUGAGGAAUGCUCAUUCACAGCCAUUUUAUUCUAGUUGCUACUUUUCACUCACUUCUUCUAUGGUACAAUGUGCUCUUCUGUUGUAAGUGUUGUUAAGUGAUUGAAGACUGCUGGAUCUUAUGUUUUAUAUUCUCUUGUUGUUAUAUUACAUAUGGCAUGCUUCAAGUUCUGGCAUGAAGUCAAAUUAUUUUUCACCUUAAUCUUUCACCAGAUUAAUAUGAUCACUUGGUCAACUGGUCGUCUUACUGUUGUGUGCUUGAAAUCAUAUGUUUUAUCUUUUAUGGAUAAUAAGUUAUUUGAAGUCUGUAUGUGCUGGUUAUAUUUGUGAACGCUGCCUUGAAUUUAUGUAGGGUUAAUAACAGAGAACCACUUGAGGUUUUGUAUAAUAUGCACUUUGGUCCUAUAGCGUUUCAAAACUAGCAAUUUAUUUCUUAAGAUUUGUUAAUGAUCCAAUGCUUUAGUCCUUAAUUAUAAAAUUAUGAAUUGUCCAUUACAUUUCAGUCCCUGACAUUUUAAACUAGAUUACACUUUUGGUCCCAAAAGUUUUAAAAUUUAAUUGCGCUUUAGUCCUUGAAUUAUUAUGUUGCAAAACAUUAUAGUCCUCAGAAUCUUGUAUUUUCCACUGAUGGCAGCAUAGGGACAAAGUGCUAAUUUUGAAACAGCAAAGACCAUAGUGUAUAUAUGUUUAUAUUUAUCUGUUUCUCCACUUAAAAGUGCAAGGGCUGAAUAUCAAAGUAUUAUGUGAC